GAUGAACGCUGGCGGCGUGCCUAAUACAUGCAAGUCGAGCGAACAGACGAGGAGCUUGCUCCUCUGACGUUAGCGGCGGACGGGUGAGUAACACAUGGAACACAUCCAUAUAAGACUGGGAUAACUUCGGGAAACCGGAGUUAUACCCGGAAAAUAUAUUGAACCCAAUGGUUCAUUAGUGAAAGACGGAUUUGCUGUCACUUAUAGAUGGAUCCGGGCCGUAUUAGCUAGUUGGUAAGGUAACGGCAUACCAAGGCAACGAUGCGUAGCCGACCUGAGAUGGGGGUCUGCCAGACUGGAACGGAGACGCGGUCCAGACCCCAACGGUAGGCAGCGGUAGAGAAGCGUACGCAAGGGGCGGAGGCCUAACGUGACAAAGCCGCGUGAGGGAUGAAAGGCUUCGGAUCGUAAAACUCUGUUAUUAGGGAAGAACAAAUGUGUAAGUAACUAUGAACUUCUUGACGGUACCUAAUCAGAAAGCCACGGCUAACUACGUG
rnacentral:rRNA from 1 species